rnacentral:rRNA from 1 species
AUUGAACGCUGGCGGCAGGCCUAACACAUGCAAGUCGAACGAGUGGCGGACGGGUGAGUAAUGUCUGGGAAACUGCCUGAUGGAGGGGGAUAACUACUGGAAACGGUAGCUAAUACCGCAUACCAUCGGAUGUGCCCAGAUGGGAUUAGCUAGUAGGUGGGUUAAAGGCUCACCUAGGCGACGAUACCUAGCUGGUCUGAGAGGCUGACCAGCCACAGUGGAACUGGGCCACGGUCCAGACUCCUACGGGAGGCAGCAGUGGGUAAUAUUGCACAAUGGGCGCAAGCCUGAUGCAGCCAUGCCGCGUGUAUGAAGAAGGCCUUCGGUUUGUAAAGUACUUUCAGCGGGGAGGCGUUACCCGCAGAAGAAGCACCGGCUAACUCCGUGCCAGCCGCCGCGGUAAUUC